UAUGGCCAUAUCAUAUUAAAACAUCAGUUCCCAUAUGAUCAAAAAAGUUAAGCAACAUCAAGGUUGGUCAGUACCUGGAUGGGUCACCACUUGGGAAUACCAGGUUCUGUAAG